CCUACGGGUGGCUGCAGUGGGGAAUCUUGCGCAAUGGGCGGAAGCCUGACGCAGCGACGCCGCGUGCGGGACGAAGGCCUUCGGGUCGUAAACCGCUUUCAGCAGGGACGAGGCCCUCACGGUGACGGUACCUGCAGAAGAAGCCUCGGCUAACUACGGGCCAGCAGCCGCGGUAAUACGUGGGGGGCGAGCGUAAUUCGGUUUCAUGGGGCGUAAAGCGGGCGUAGGCGGCCUGUUAGGUCGGGGGGAAAAUACCGGGGCUCAACCCCGGCCCGCCCCCGAUACCGGCAGGCGUGAGUCUAGUAGAGGAAGGCGGAAUUCCCAGUGUAGCGGUGGAAUGCGCAGAGAUUGGGAAGAACACCAGCGGCGAAGGCGGCCUUCUGGGCCACGACUGACGCUGAGGCGCGAAAGCGAGGGGAGCGAACAGGAUUAGAUACCCGUGUAGUC
rnacentral:rRNA from 1 species